GAGGUCUCAAGCGGUGUUCGGAUUCAUUGGGCGUAAAGGGUGCGUAGGCGGCGCGGUAAGUCGGGUGUGAAAUCUCGGAGCUUAACUCCGAAACUGCAUUCGAUACUGCCGUGCUUGAGGACUGGAGAGGAGACUGGAAUUUACGGUGUAGCGGUGAAAUGCGUAGAUAUCGUAAGGAAGACCAGUGGCGAAGGCGGGUCUCUGGACAGUUCCUGACGCUGAGGCACGAAGGCCAGGGGAGCAAACGGGAUUAGAUACCCCGGUAGUCCUGGCAGUAAACGGUGCACGUUUGGUGUGGGAGGAUUCGACCCCUUCUGCGCCGGAGCUAACGCGUUAAACGUGCCGCCUGGGGAGUACGGUCGCAAGAUUAAAACUCAAAGAAAUUGACGGGGGCCCGCACAAGCGGUGGAGUAUGUGGCUCAAUUCGAUGCAACGCGAAGAACCUUACCAGGCCUUGACAUGCAUCUCUAAGUUGGUGAAAGCCAGCGAGUCCCGAAAGGGACAAUUUGCACAGGUGCUGCAUGGCUGUCGUCAGCUCGUGUCGUGAGAUGUUGGGUUAAGUCCCGCAACGAGCGCAACCCCUGUGAACUGUUGCUACCGAGCCGUGAGGCUCGAGCACUCUGUUCAGACUGCCCCGUUCUAACGGGGAGGAAGGUGGGGACGACGUCAAGUCAGUAUGGCCCUUACGGCCUGGGCUGCACACGUACUACAAUGCCCAGUACAGAACGAUCCGAGACCGCAAGGUGGAGGAAAUCACUAAAACUGG
rnacentral:rRNA from 1 species